UACGAAGGGGGCUAGCGUUGCUCGGAAUCACUGGGCGUAAAGGGUGCGUAGGCGGGUCUUUAAGUCAGGGGUGAAAUCCUGGAGCUCAACUCCAGAACUGCCUUUGAUACUGAAGAUCUUGAGUUCGGGAGAGGUGAGUGGAACUGCGAGUGUAGAGGUGAAAUUCGUAGAUAUUCGCAAGAACACCAGUGGCGAAGGCGGCUCACUGGACAGUUCCUGACGCUGAGGCACGAAGGCCAGGGGAGCAAACGGG
rnacentral:rRNA from 1 species